UCAAGAAAACAGAACACACAUCGACAGAUGAAGAAGGAUCGUCUGGAUUUGCCGCAACGUCCGACAUCAGUUAAUUCAGAGAGAAAUUCAUUAUUUCUGCUGAAUAUUAAGGAAAAGGAUCGCUGUUGCAGUUCCGAUGGCAAGGCUCUGUCUGGUCGUAUUAUGUUCUCUGGUUCUGGUUGUAGCUGGCCAAUUGGAGCAUCCGUGUGAUGGAAGCUGCCACGAGAUACAAGAUGCCGAGGCGUGUGAUCCAGCUGAUUUUGAUGGCCACUCUGACUGCGACUGUUACACAUGUUCAUGUAGGCUGGUCAAGGGUGGUCUUACGUCGUUCGUGGCUUGCUGCAUAGAGGCAGAGAAUACAGCCCCAAUUAGUAUUGCUGCUGAAUGCAUAAACAUUGUGAAAAGGGACUCAACAGGAGUUUGUAAUUGGAAGACUGUUACAAAACAAGACCCAGCAGUUGAGUGCCCUCCCCCUGCACAGGACGACGGUGGAUUUUGAUGAGAAUGGAGAAGUGCGAAUGAAAAUCUGUUUAAGAAAAAGGAAAUAAUUAUAGUCAAAGGGGUGAUUAGCUUUACGUUAGUUUAAAAUAAUAUGACACAACACAUUAUAACUGACUGAACACUUUCAGAACAUUUUAUUUUAUUUAUUUAUUUUCAUUUAUUUUAUUAUUCUUCCCGUUGGAUUAUUAUUAACUGAUCUUUUGAUUCACACCAGAAAUAAACAAAUAACAAUAUAAAUAAUAAAAACAAUAACAGAUUAUUAACAAUUUGGUGACGAGCCGGAUGAUGAUUUGGUUUGGUUAUUCAUUCUGGUGUCAAGACUGAAAUAUUGCUUCUUGUUGGAUCUUACACCUUUUGAAAGUAACUAUAAAAAUUUGGUAUCGUGUAUGAGUCGUAGAAAAAUAUCUUUAGCACCAUCUUUGUCUGAUUCCCUGUAACUACCUUGGUAUUGAGAGUUUUGACACUUAAUUUAACAAAAGAGCCAGCCUAUAACAUUCCCGUACUACCUUAUUUGUGUUGCGUUGCUUUGAAGGGAAGAAAAGCAAGAUAUGGCCGCGCCAUGAUAAACUCCAAUUGGAGAAUUUAAAACGCUAGGUGACAGCAGACUUGCUAGUUAAAGUUCCAUUGCUUACGUAGUUCUGAACAUGCGCACAUAAUCAAGAUCAAUAAGUUUUAAAUUUGGUGACCAAUUUUGGGACCAGGCGUACCAAAAGACAUCUCCUAUUGACUUGCUUUUGGUUAUUGAAUAAUUUCUGAAGCAUCUCGACAAAAGUUUAUUAAAAAUAGUUUUAGGUGAACAACUCAAAAUUUGAGUAAUCGCUCCAUAAAAAUAAAAUAAAACUAAGAUGCUAAAAGAGCAGAUUUGAAGAAAAAUGUUCCUACUUUCGUCACCGUGUAUUAUAUAAUUAUGACGGGUUUGAUUGUGGCAUCCUGAUACGUGAAAUUUCUUCAAACGACGACUUCUUUCGGAAACUUUAGAACUUUAAACACUUAUAAAUCAACUAACGUAACAGUAUGUAACAUUAUCUUAAAAGGGCAUUGAAAAAUAUAUUAAGAAAUUGAUAUUGUUAAAGUUGGUUGAUAACUGUACAUCCGUAUGGAUCUCUAUGAGGUUAGAUAUGAAUAAAUCGACACACGUAAUGACGCUAA